GGAUAUUUGACCAUGGGGGCAACCCUGAUCCAGCCAUGCCGCGUGUGUGAAGAAGGCCUGUUUGUUGUACAGCACUUUAAGCAGUGAAGAAGACACCAUGGUUAAUACCCAUGGACGAUGACAUUAGCUGCAUAAUAAGCAACGUAUUACUCCGUGCUAGCAGCCGCGGUAGUACAGAGGGUGCAAGCGUUAAUCGGAAUUACUGGGCGUAAAGCGAGCGUAGGUGGCUUGAUAAGUCAGAUGUGAAAUCCCCGGGCUUAACCGGGGAACUGCAUCGGAUACUGUUAGGCUAGAAUAGGUGAGAGGAAGGUAGAAUUCCGGGUGUAGCGGUGAAAUGCGUAGAGAUCUGGAGGAAUACCGAUGGCGAAGGCAGCCUUCUGGCAUCAUAUUGACACUGAGGUUCGAAAGCGUGGGUAGCAAAC
rnacentral:rRNA from 1 species